rnacentral:rRNA from 1 species
UACGGAGGGGGCGAGCGUUAUUCGGAAUUAUUGGGCGUAAAGGGUGCGUAGGCGGUUUGAUAAGUCAUCUGUGAAAUCUCUGGGCUCAACCCAGAGUCUGCAGGCGAAACUGUCGGGCUUGAGUAUGGGAGAGGUGAGUGGAAUUUCCGGUGUAGCGGUGAAAUGCGUAGAUAUCGGAAGGAACACCUGUGGCGAAAGCGGCUCACUGGACCAUAACUGACGCUGAUGCACGAAAGCUAGGGGAGCAAACAGG